rnacentral:rRNA from 1 species
UUAUUUGAGAGUUUGAUCCUGGCUCAGGAUGAACGCUGGCGGCGUGCCUAACACAUGCAAGUUGAGCGAUUUACUUCGGUAAAGAGCGGCGGACGGGUGAGUAACGCGUGGGUAACCUACCCUGUACACACGGAUAACAUACCGAAAGGUAUGCUAAUACGGGAUAAUAUAUUUGAGAGGCAUCUCUUGAAUAUCAAAGGUGAGCCAGUACAGGAUGGACCCGCGUCUGAUUAGCUAGUUGGUAAGGUAACGGCUUACCAAGGCGACGAUCAGUAGCCGACCUGAGAGGGUGAUCGGCCACAUUGGAACUGAGACACGGUCCAAACUCCUACGGGAGGCAGCAGUGGGGAAUAUUGCACAAUGGGCGAAAGCCUGAUGCAGCAACGCCGCGUGAGUGAUGAAGGCCUUCGGGUCGUAAAACUCUGUCCUCAAGGAAGAUAAUGACGGUACUUGAGGAGGAAGCCCCGGCUAACUACGUGCCAGCAGCCGCGGUAAUACGUAGGGGGCUAGCGUUAUCCGGAUUUACUGGGCGUAAAGGGUGCGUAGGCGGUCUUUCAAGUCAGGAGUGAAAGGCUACGGCUCAACCGUAGUAAGCUCUUGAAACUGGGAGACUUGAGUGCAGGAGAGGAGAGUGGAAUUCCUAGUGUAGCGGUGAAAUGCGUAGAUAUUAGGAGGAACACCAGUUGCGAAGGCGGCUCUCUGGACUGUAACUGACGCUGAGGCACGAAAGCGUGGGGAGCAAACAGGAUUAGAUACCCUGGUAGUCCACGCUGUAAACGAUGAGUACUAGGUGUCGGGGGUUACCCCC